GUUUAGUUUCAAAGCUCCAAGGUAUUCUUCGUGAAAGACCUCCAGUUUUAAAAAUUUAGUAAGAUUGGUUUGGGCCUGGUUAGUACUUAGAUGGGAGACCACCUAGGAAUACCAGGUGCUGUAGGCU
rnacentral:rRNA from 1 species